UGGGGAAUAUUGCACAAUGGGCGGAAGCCUGAUGCAGCAACGCCGCGUGAGGGAUGACGGCCUUCGGGUUGUAAACCUCUUUUAGCAGGGAAGAAGCGUGAGUGACGGUACCUGCAGAAAAAGCGCCGGCUAACUACGUGCCAGCAGCCGCGGUAAUACGUAGGGCGCAAGCGUUAUCCGGAAUUAUUGGGCGUAAAGAGCUCGUAGGCGGUUUGUCGCGUCUGCUGUGAAAUCCCGAGGCUCAACUUCGGGUCUGCAGUGGGUACGGGCAGACUAGAGUGCGGUAGGGGAGAUUGGAAUUCCUGGUGUAGCGGUGGAAUGCGCAGAUAUCAGGAGGAACACCGAUGGCGAAGGCAGAUCUCUGGGCCGUAACUGACGCUGAGGAGCGAAAGGGUGGGGAGCAAACA
rnacentral:rRNA from 1 species